rnacentral:rRNA from 1 species
AGAGUUUGAUCCUGGCUCAGGAUGAACGCUGGCGGCGUGCUUAACACAUGCAAGUCGAACGGGAAACAUUUCAUUGAGGCUUCGGCGGAUUUGGUCUGUUUCUAGUGGCGGACGGGUGAGUAACGCGUGGGUAACCUGCCUUAUACUGGGGGAUAACAGCCAGAAAUGGCUGCUAAUACCGCAUAAGCGCACGGAGGCGCAUGCCUUUGUGUGAAAAACUCCGGUGGUAUAAGAUGGACCCGCGUUGGAUUAGCUAGUUGGCAGGGCAGCGGCCUACCAAGGCGACGAUCCAUAGCCGGCCUGAGAGGGUGAACGGCCACAUUGGGACUGAGACACGGCCCAAACUCCUACGGGAGGCAGCAGUGGGGAAUAUUGCACAAUGGGCGAAAGCCUGAUGCAGCGACGCCGCGUGAGCGAAGAAGUAUUUCGGUAUGUAAAGCUCUAUCAGCAGGGAAGAAAAUGACGGUACCUGACUAAGAAGCCCCGGCUAACUACGUGCCAGCAGCCGCGGUAAUACGGAGGGUGCAAGCGUUAAUCGGAAUAACUGGGCGUAAAGGGCAUGCAGGCGGUUUAUCAAGUAGGAUGUGAAAGCCCCGGGCUCAACCUGGGAAUUGCAUUCUAAACUGGUGGACUAGAGUAUUGCAGGGGGAGACGGAAUUCCAGGUGUAGCGGUGGAAUGCGUAGAUAUCUGGAAGAACACCAAAGGCGAAGGCAGUCUCCUGGGCAAAUACUGACGCUCAUAUGCGAAAGCGUGGGUAGCAAACAGGAUUAGAUACCCUGGUAGUCCACGCCGUAAACGAUGUCAAUUAGGAGCUUGGGCAAUAGUCUGGGUUCCGCAGCUAACGCAAUAAAUUGACCGCCUGGGGAGUACGGCCGCAAGGUUAAAACUCAAAUGAAUUGACGGGGGCCCGCACAAGCGGUGGAGCAUGUGGUUUAAUUCGAUGAUACGCGAGGAACCUUACCCGGGCUCGAACGGCAGGGGAAUCACCCAGAGAUGGGUGAGUCUUCGGACUCCUGUCGAGGUGCUGCAUGGUUGUCGUCAGCUCGUGCCGUGAGGUGUCGGCUCAAGUGCCAUAACGAGCGCAACCCUUGCCGCCAGUUGCCAUCAGGUGAAGCUGGGCACUCUGGCGGGACUGCCACCGCAAGGUGUGAGGAGGGGGGGGAUGACGUCAAAUCAGCACGGCCCUUACGUCCGGGGCGACACACGUGUUACAAUGGCGGCCACAGAGGGAAGCUACCCCGCGAGGGGAUGCGGAUCUCGAAAAGCCGUCCCAGUUCGGACUGGAGUCUGCAACCCGACUCCACGAAGUUGGAUUCGCUAGUAAUCGCGCAUCAGCCAUGGCGCGGUGAAUACGUUCCCGGGUCUUGCACUCACCGCCCGUCA